UUUUUUUUUUUUUUUUUUUUUUUUUAAAGAAACAGGUUCUUGCUUUGUUGCCCAUGCUGGCCUUGAACUGCUGGACUCAAGCAAUCAUUCCACGUUAGCUUCCAGAGUAGCAGAAGGAGCAAUUCUGAAAAAGCCCAGAGGCUAUAUAUUCUCACCCCAGAGGAGUAUGCUUGUGAUGUGCUCAGAAUAGCUAAAAUGGUCUGUGCAGGGACAAGAGUUCCUAAGGGAAAGUGGAAUAUCUCCCCAUCCAACCGCAAGUGGAAUAACAAGAAGAACCAGAUAGAAAAGCAGCGCACGAGCCCGGGCCAGGCGCAGUGGCCCACACCUGUAAUCCCAGCACUUUGGGAGGCCGAGGUGGGCAGAUCACAAGGUCAGGAGAUCAAGACCAUCCUGGCUAACACGGUGAAACCCUGUCUCUACUAAGAAAUACAAAAAAUUAGCCAGGCGUGGUGGCGGGCGCCUGUAGUCCCAGCUACUCAGGAAGCUGAGGCAGGAGAAUGGCGUGAACCCAGGAGGCGGAGCUUGCAGUGAGCCGAGAUUGUGCCACUGCACUCCAGCCUGGGCGACGGAGCAAGACUCCGUCUCAAAACAACAACAACAAAAGAAAAGCAGCGCACCAGACUCAUGCAUGCUUCCAUGGGUCACCUGACUUCCCAAACUAUCAGCUUUGCAAGAGACAUGGGGAUUUACUAAGCGUGCAACCCUAGUGAGGAUUCAAUCCUACAUGCUCCUGGGUGAGGUCUAGUUGAGGGCACAACCAGCAUAAUAUGCACUGAUUCGGGGAUGAUCUCCCAUUUUAAACUGCAAGUCCAGUUUCAGGAAGACGUGGCCUGACAUAAGCCCUAGAGCUGACAUUAACUAACUUUUUUUUUUUUUUUUUUUUUGAGACAAAAAUCUCGCUCUGUAGCCCAGGCUGGAGUGCAAUGGUGUGAUCCCGGCUCACCGCAACCUCUGCCUCCCGGGUUCAAGUGAUUCUCCAGCCUCAGCCUCCCGAGUAGCUGGGAUUACAGGUACCCACCACCAUGCCCAGCUAAUUUUUGUAUUUUUAGCUGAGGCAGGAGAAUGGUGUGAAUCUGGGAGGCGGAGCUUGCAGUGAGCCAAGAUGACACCACUGCACUCCAGCCUGGGCGACAGAGCGAGAUGCCAUCACAAAAAAAAAAGAAAAGAAAAGAAAUCCAGUGUUCCCAGAUGUAACCACAUUUUCUAACAGCAGUUUUAUCAGUAAUAAGGGUGGUAUUUUGGUCUCCCAUCUCCCAUCGUCUUAUUUUUUGUUUCUUAAUUGGUUCUGAAAUUGGGAAAAAUUAGGGUAUCCCCUGGCUCCCUCGGACUUCUUACACCUUUCAGUUAACAAAACCUGUGGUCCCUGCUCAGUCCUUCCUGUAACCUAUUGGC
rnacentral:lncRNA from 1 species